AAUGGGCUGAAGCCUGAACCAGCCAUGCCGCGUGCAGGAAGAAUGCCCUACGGGUUGUAAACUGCUUUUCCCCGGGAAGAAUAAGGCCCCUGCGGGGGUCGAUGCCGGUACCGGGGGAAUAAGGAUCGGCUAACUCCGUGCCAGCAGCCGCGGUAAUACGGAGGAUCCGAGCGUUAUCCGGAUUUACUGGGUUUAAAGGGUGCGUAGGCGGGCGCCUAAGUCGGCGGUGAAAUGCAGCGGCUCAACCGUUGAACUGCCGUUGAAACUGGGCGCCUUGGAUGCGGUCGAGGCCGGCGGAAUGCGUGGUGUAGCGGUGAAAUGCUUAGAUAUCACGCAGAACGCCAAUUGCGAAGGCAACUGGCCGGGCCGCAAUCGACGCUGAGCCACGAAAGCGUGGGGAUCAAA
rnacentral:rRNA from 1 species